rnacentral:misc_RNA from 1 species
GCACCUACCGAUUGAAUGGUCCGGUGAAAUCUUUGGACUGUGACUUUGACUUGUUCAUUCAAGACGCUGUCGCGGGAAAUUGAUUAAACCUUACCAUUUAGAGGAAGGUGAAGUCGCAACAAGGUUUCCGUAGGUGAACCUGCAGAAGGAUCAAGAUAGGUAGAGCACACGUCUGAACUCUCGUCACGUGGCCGUAUAUCGUAUGCAGUCUCUUGCUUGAAAAAAACAAAAUCAAUUCCACGACCCAAACGCUGAAGAUGUUUAUUCAUUACGACGU